rnacentral:lncRNA from 1 species
GGAAAUUCUUCCUUUAAAUACUCACUCACUUCAGAUAAGUGACCUCAGCAUAAUUUAUUGUCCAUCAGUGACUUUAAAGUAGCCACUUCUCUCACAUGCUAUUCCAGCAGGGCAGAAGACUUCUUUUUUGGCCCUUCAUUCUAGCUUUGGAUGUAAUUUACAAAGAUGAACCCUUGAGCAUGUAAAUGGUCAAUUCUACAUGGGUGGGCAAAAUAUUAACUUGAUAAAACAUAUCAAAAUAGCUGCUUAAUUCAGUUAACUAGAGUUCUGAAGCUUGAAGCUCUCUCUCUGUAUUUUAGAACAGCCCUCAUACUUGCUGUAAAUUUUGCAUCAUCAAGUGUAGUCAGGCUGCUUCUUGAGCAAGGCGUUGAUAUCUCUCCUCAAGAUCGCUAUGGACGGAAUGCAGAAGACUAUGCUGUUAUCAAGGGUCAUCAUAUGAAUCACCACAUGAUUUUGGAGUAUAAACGAGAAAUGGGACCUAAAACUCCUGCUCAAGAUAGUAACCUAGAUCUAACAGCAGAGGAGUCUCCAAGGCAGAUAUCAAGAGAAACAGAUUCAACACAAGGUAUUCUGUGAAAGGACCUGGCUGUAAUUCCACAUAACACAUUCAUCCCAAUCAUAGCAAUUUCAUGUAAAUAAUGCAAAUGUUUCAGUGGUUCUCCAAACCACACCAGGCAGGGGCAG